ACGUUGGCCUUAGGGUUUUCGAGCUCAAUUAGGCUCUUGGAAAAAAGCAGCUGAAAGCCACUCCAGUAAGAAUUUAGUAAUUGGUGAUGUCUAGGAAAGUUUUACAAUAGUGAGAACUGUUACGGGUAUUGUGGUAUCGGUGUAUCCCUUCUGGCACCACCACACAUCCCGAGACUUUCCUGGUCACUGGUUACUGGAUCACUUAAUUGGUAA
rnacentral:lncRNA from 1 species